GCCCAGCCUCUUUUGCAACUUUCCCAAGUUUGUGCAUGAGAGGGAGAGGAGGAAAACUCAGAAGGAAGUGGCUUAGCCUCAACAAACUCUUUUUUACUCCCAAAGCCUUUUUCCUCUGACCCGGCUGAGACUGCUGCUCUAAGAGGAGACCCCCGACUCAGAGAGAACCCCCACCUGCCGUCAGAGGCUGAAAGGGCCCUGCAAGCUUUUCUCGGUUCCUGUCUAUUCCAGCAGCCCCAGAGGCUCUGAAGCCCCUCCAUGAAUCCUCGGAAGAAGGUGGACCUCAAGCUCAUCAUCAUCGGAGCCCUGGGUGUUGGAAAGACUUCCCUCCUCCACCGAUUCGUGCACAAGACAUUUUACGAGGACUAUCAGACCACACUGGGAGCCAGCAUCCUCUCCAAGAUUAUCAUACUGGAUGACACAACUUUGAAGCUACAAAUCUGGGACACAGGAGGACAGGAGCGAUUCCGCUCCAUGGUGUCUACAUUCUACAAAGGCUCUGAUGGCUGCGUCCUGGCUUUUGAUGUCACUGACGUGGAGACCUUUGAAGCCCUGGAAACCUGGAGGGGUGAUGUUCUAGCCAAAACCAUUCCAAUGGAGCAGUCCUACCCCAUGGUGGUGCUGGGGAACAAGAUCGAUCUGGCAGACCGGCAGGUGCCACAGGAGGUAGCCCAAGACUGGUGUAAAGAGAAGGAUAUUCCCUAUUUUGAAGUCAGUGCCAAGAAUGACAUCAAUGUGGUACAAGCCUUCGAGAUGCUGGCCAGUCGGGCUCUGUCAAGGGAAGGUCAUGUGCUCAUUCACACCAGCCCAGAGUAUUUGGAGAGGAAGACGUGAGAGGUGCUGCUAGAAUAAGGAGGGAGCCGCAGCCUGGGGUGGGAAGAGCUGGGCUCUGAAGCCGGUAUCGAAGCGUCUUAGAGAAUUACCUCACAGACUCCAUCAAGCUCUCACCAGAAGGCCAGUCCAAGAGCAGCUGCUGCUGACCUUCCAGACUCCCGCUCUGCACACCCAGGGACAGAGCAUGCACAAGGCCUGGUCAUCCUGGGCCCCCAACAGCCCCACUGCCCGCCGAAGCUCAGAUGGCAGUCCAGGCUCUGCGGCCAGAGCCCUGAAUCCCUCACAUCUGCGCGGGACCCAGAACCAGAGGGCGGCCCUGCCUCAGGCUGAGUGUAGAGAGGCCGGGGCUGGGCCCUUGAGCCUGGAUGAAACCCCGGAUGCCACAGCCAAACCCCAGAGGAGUCACGAUUCCCUCGUGGACUCCAGCUUUCUUGCCACACGCCCUUCCCAGCCACACCCCUGCUCCAGAAUGCACAUCUCUGCAGACAGGCCGCUCUCUCUGGAGUCCUGUUAUAUUCUCCUACGGAUUGGCCUUCCUCAGCCCAACCACCACACCCCCCCAAGAGCCACAGCACAGCUUUGGACAAGGGUACAGCUCAGGCUCCCUCGUAACCGGGGCCAGGGAGUGAGGGUCUACCUCCACCCCUGGCAGCAGCUGUUCAGACCGGGGACACUCCCGUUUGUCCCCUCCAGAAUGCAGGACUGAGGGAGCGCAGGAGAAACCCACCGGGGACUGGUGCAUUUCUCCCUGCUGGUGCUCAGGCAACUCCCAUAACUCUCUUUGAGCUUCAGCUUAUUCAUCUGUCAAAUGGGAGUCACAUGUGCCCUGCCCACAUCAGUGUGGUUUUGAGGACCAGAACCUCUGCUUGAAUCUCAGUUGCUCUUGUUGAGAUACAUUUACUAUUCUUUCAACAAGUAUUUUUGAGUAUCUACUAUGUACAAUGCAUUGAGGUCCAGUGACAAAUGUAACCAACCUUGCUCUCCUGGAUCCGACAUUCUGGCGAGGGAGAGAGGCAGGAAACACAGAAUUUAAACAGGUAUUUUCAAAUAGCAGGUAAGUGCUUGAACAAAGUGAAACAAGGUAAUGGGAUAGAGAGGGACAGUUGGGUGCUGUUUCAGACGAAGUAGUCCAUGAAGGCUUCCCUGGGGAGGUGACAUUGGCUCAAAGGCUAGAGAAUGAGAAAGGGGCUGCCACCUGAACUUGACAAAGAACAUUCUGAGGAGAGGUUGCAUCAAGGACAAAGGCCCCAGAUCGAGGACAAACUUGUGUUCCAGGAACAGUGAAAAGAUUAAUUUAUCUGAGGACUCAAGAUUUUGGAUCAUCUUUACUGUCAUUAUUCUGAAUUAUUUUUCAGGUAUUCCACAGAUGCAGGUACAUCAAGUUGUUUGUGGAACUUUAAUCCGCUGCUCCUGAGGCUGCUGGGAGAGAUUUCCCUUUCUCUUCUUUGUUUGCACAGCUCCCGGGGUUCAGCUUUGGAUUUGGACCCACCUCUGCAUGUAGGUGGCCUGAGGGCGUCUGUUCUUCGCUCACACAGGACGGGGUUAAAGGAGCAGCUGCUUCGGGGGCUCUGGCUCACUCAGGCGGGGGGAGGAGGGAAUGUUGCUGGAUUCUUUAGACUUUUUCCAAGGACUUUGCCUGUUACUGGGAAGGUGACAGCAAUCACAGUGGACGGGGCUGUGAACGGGAUGGGCAGGAGAGGCCGUCCCCUCACCUUCCCUGUUUUUUCUUGCUGUGGCCAAUGUGAUGCACAGCUGAGUUAGUGCUGGAGCUACAGGUCUUAUUCUUGGAUCAGGGAGAAGGCUCAUCCUGUUGAGGAUUAUCUAUAAGGAGACUGAUUGGAUGACCAGACCCUUCUGGUAUCUUUUGUAGGGGGCAGAGUCAGGCCUGAAUCAGCCCUGACUUCUGCUGUAGACAGGGCCGAGCCCCCCACUGCACCUAUAACCUUGGCCCCCCUCUGCCCGUAGGUUUCACCCUCAACAACCAGGUACAGCAGACCAUCACCAUGCAGUAUGCAUGCAGCAAACUUGGCAUCGACUUUGACAGCUUCCUUGCUUGUAUGAUCCGCCUGGAGACCCUCUUCAAACUGUUCAGCCUUCUGGACAAGGACCAGAAUGGCAUUGUCCGGCUCUCUCUGGCAGAGUGGCUGUGCUGUGUGUUGGUCUGACCCAGGGUUCUGGACAUCAGUGACGCUCCCUGCCAGCCUGCCUGCCUCUUUUCUCCCUUUCUUUACAGUUUUGUGAACAUUUAUCCUCAGGGGAGCAUUCACUGGUUAUUCACCUCUUCCUUGCCGUUUGUUGUUCCCUGAGAUCCUGGCCUGUCCCACUGGAGCAGUCCUGGGAGCCCGAGAUCUCUUUCAGCAGCAUUUAAGCUGAUCCCAGAGCACAAUGGAGAGACAGAAAUUAAUUAAAGUUGUGGGCCAAAAUGGUUUCUGCCUUCCUCUAGUGAUAUGUAAUCUGGGGGGUGCCCUGGGGUGUUCCUGCUUUAGAAAAGAUGUUCUUGAGCAAUGAUGCAGCCCAAAGCUGCUGAAAGAUGGGAAAUGUGGGUGAAUUUCUUGGAGGAAAGGCCUGCUAUAGAUUAAACUGCCUCCGGGGACUGCCUUCAGGAAAGGAGCUGCUCCCGCCCUUCCGAGGAGGGCGCAGGGAGGGUCUGCUGGGGGGAGAGGCCUUUCUUCCUCACACGCAGACGGGAGAAAUUGCUAUACUGCAGGUCAGCAUGGGCUAAAGGAAAGGAAAGGAUAGGAAAAUUCUUGCUGAGGGGAAUUCUUACCUGACAAAUAGCUUGAGGGGAAAUGCAGUUCAGGUUAGUUUUGCUCAUGGCGGAACACAGCGAUCUUUGUUGUUGGUAAGAAAAUAGGUGCCAUAGCCUAGUGUCCUAAUGGGUAGUUGGAGACAGAGCUGACUCUCAUACGCAGAUGUUGGAAAUGAAGUGUACAGGAAGAUGAGUGUCUUAGUCAGUUUGGGCUGUCUGAGCAAAUACCAGAGACCAGGUGGCUUAUAAAAAACAGACACAUUUUCUCACAGUUCUGGAGGCUAGAAGUCCGAGAUCAGAGCAGCAUAGUUGGGUUCUGGAGAUCUCUCUCAGACUAUAGACUUCUCAUUGUGUCCUCACAGGGUGGAGAGCAGAGGGGAAGCAAGCUCUCUCAUGAUUCUUGGAAGAACGCUAAUCCCAUUCAUGAGGGGCCCACCCUCAUGACCUUAUCUAACCCUAAUUAGCCCCCCAGGUCCCACCUCCUGAUACUACCACGUUAGGGGGUGGGGUUUCAACGUAUGAAUUUGAAGGGGAUACAACCAUUCAGCCCAUAGCUGUGACCUACUGGAGAGAAAACACACAUUUAUGCCUUGGCCUCUCUAUUAGUCUGAUUAAGGAUUAAUUUUUGACCUCCAGAAGUAGAGCUGGAUGAAUGUUCCUUAUAGGAACAUGAUUUAUAAGUAUGGUAUAACAGCCAUCAGCUUUUUUUUUUUUGAAGUAUAGUUGAUUUACAAUAUUGUGUUAGUUUCAUGUGUAGAGCAAAGUGAUUUAGUUAUAUAUAUAUAUUUUUUCAGAUUAUUUUCCAUUAUAGGUUAUUACAAGAUAUUGAAUAUAGUUCCCUGUGCUAAACAGUAGGACCUUUUUGUUUAUCCAUUCUAUAUAUAAUAGUUUGCAUCUGCUAACUUCAAUCUCCCAAUCCAUCCCUCCCCCCUUCCUCCCCCUUGGCAACCUCAAGUCUGUUCUCUAUGUCUGGGAGUCUGUAUCUGCUUUGUAAAUAGGUUCAUUUGUGUCAUAUUUUAGACUCCAAAUGUAAGUGAUAUCAUAUGGUAUUUGUCUUUCUCUUUCUGACUUACUUCACUCAGUAUGAUAAUCUCUGAUUGUAUCCAUGUGGCUGCAAAUGGCAUUAUUUUGUUCUUUUUAUGGCUGAGCAGUAUUCCAUUGUGUAUAUAUAUAUAUAUAUAAACCACAUCUUCUUUAUCCAUUCAUCUAUUGGUGGACACUUAGUUUGUUUCCAUGUCUUGGCUAUUGUAAACAGUGCUGCUAUGAACAUUGGGGUGCAUGGAUCUUUUUGAAUUAGUGUUUUCUUUUUUUUCCCUGGAUAUAUAUCCGGGAGUGGGGUUGCUGGAUCAUAUGGUGGCUCUACUUUUAGUUUUUAAAGGAUCUUUCAUACUGUUUUCCAUAGUGGCUGCACCAAUUUACAUUCCCAGUGUAAAAAGAUUCCCUUUUCUCCACACCCUCUGUAGCAUUUAUUAUUUGUAGACUUUUUGUUGAUGGCCAUUCUGACUGAACACCAGUCAGCUUUAAUGCUGUCUUCAACUCUCCCAAGGCCCAGCGGGGGGAAGGGGUAGGCCCUUAACUGAAGGGGGCUGUGGGAGCUCUGGGAUCUCACCCCUCAGGGAGAGGCUCUGGGACGGCGCCCCUGCAGGGAAAGUUCAGUCAUUGGAGGGUGGAGAAGGAGCUAUAUUUGUUUGGCAGCCUGUGGGUCCCAGAAGUAAAGAGGUCCUUCCACAUGUAGUCAGAAGUAUGAGGGAGCUUUCAUCACCUGGGUCAUCAGCAGGACCCAGCAGGUGUAUGUCCAGCUGCCCUCAGGCUGCCUGGGGAUACCACCCAGCCUGCCCCUGUCGGCCCAGGUGGUGUUAGUCUGAUGCUUACUAGCCGGGUACAAGUCCCUGACCCACACCAUUGUUUAAAAAUAAAGUACUACAAAGCAGUUCUCCUUUACAUUUCGAAUAUAGCGUGGCUGCCUAAAUUGAAAGGACUGUGUUAUAAUCAGCUGGCAACAGGUAGUUUUAUUUUUCAGGCCUACAAGCUACUUCAGGGAAUAGUCUGGUAACCAAAAAAACCAAACCAAACAAAAAAAAAAACCAAAAAACAGCUUAGUUACAAAAUGGAUUUGCUUUGGGGGUCCCAGUCUCAGGGAAGUGUUGUUCUGGGGACUUCUUACCAGUACAGCGUGUGAGGCCAGCUAAGGAUCUUAACACUGCAUAGUUUUCCUCUUAAACACCUGAGAGUUUGCAGUAUGCUCCUUUCUGCCCCCUGAAUUAAGGCAGCAGAGGUGCUGCUUUUUGGUGUGGCCUCUUCAUCGCCCCUCUAUGUGGCUGCAUCUCAGGCAAGAUCAGCCCCUGCUGGACGGUGGCGCCUCGGCGCGGAUCCCCCAGGGAGGCUCCUGCGCUUCCCCGGCCGAGCCCUCCCCACGUUAUUGCGUUCACGUGUUUCACGUCUUCCCUGUUCCUGUGGACAGUCUGUGAAUGCAGAGUGUUCCUAAUUCCCCCAGAGCCUGGAACAGUGCCUGGCACAGAGCAGGUGCUCAAUGAACGAAACCCGUGUCCUUUCCUUUGCAAAUGAGGAGGUACUGUAGCAUUUGGGCCCCACUUUGUUUUCCCAGUAGAGAGGAUGGGUUUGCAGUGGUCCCUCACUGCAAUUCCCGGCAGCCCCAGAGGGGAAGUGCUGAUGUUUGGAUGCGUUACAGCCAGCCUCCGUGGGCGGGUGAAGGGCUGGAGCGGGGGAUGGUGAGAAGGAGAAGCUGUGUCCCCUGCGGGGUCCCCUGCUGAGCCGCUCCCUCCCCAGGCUCCUCCCCACCCCCAUGCCAGGAGCACAGGGAGUUAUUGCCUCCAGAGGGCCGCCUCCCGUGUCGGCGGGUCUUUGAUUCGUGCAGAGACUCUGUGGCGGCUCUCGGGUUCCCCACUUUCCGGAAGGAGAGUGAAGCAGCUCGGCAGGAGGCUUGAGGCAGCGGUGGGGGUCAGGGUGAGCCUCCUUCUGUUCCUCGCCAUCCUCCCUCGCCUGCAGAGCCCCGCCACUUCUCUUAAAGGCCGAGCUUGUUUCCUCACUAGUCAACGUAAGGACACACACGCCACCAUGCCGCCCCCAGACUCAACUGAGACCUCCGGGAGCAUGGAACCUGACACCACGGCAGGAGGUGGUCAGGGGGUAUCGAAUAUUCUGGGUAAUUCCACACCAGCAAGGCCACCUCUAGCAAGUCCCCUUUCCCGUGAGAGCUUCGAGUCACGCAUUAUUAGCUUUCUGCUCACGUCACCGGCCCAAGCAGGGGUCUCGGUAGUUAUGCACAAUCGCAGAAGCAGCAUUGAGCAGGGCUGGGAGAAGCCGGUGGCCCUGCCACACGCAGCAGGGGUCUCUUCCCACCAAGGUCCCGACAGCACCGGGUCGCAUGGCAUCCUGUGCGUCCUGCCCGGGGCGCAGCUGGCGGAGGCCCCCGCCCUGCUCGGGGCUCCCCUCCGUUCCUCACCGCCUCCCUGAAGCCAGCCGCUCCUCCGGGCUGGGGCAGCGGGGCACAGUACAAAGUCCUGCAUCAGCUGUUCUCACUCUGCCACCUAGGCUGACUUCUUGCCUCUCACUCCAAGCCUCACGCUGCGCAGCCUCUCAGAUGCCCAGCAUCUUUUCAGCUUUCGAUGUUCCAGUUUCCCGCAGGCCCUGAUCCUGUCAUUGCUUCCUCUGUGGCUCCAGAACACGGCCAAACCCCACCCCCCAGCCCACGCUUCUCCGCUCUUCUUCCACGGGGGAUCCCAGCCCCCUGGUCGACAUCUCCCUUCAUACAUGAACCCUUCCCUUUGAUUGACGGGCUGGGUUGACCUCGAGAGUUCACGUAAUUGGACAGGGGACAACCAAGACACACCCCCACCCUGACAACCUCUCUCUGCACUGCAGAACAGACAGUGUCAGGAAGGACCUAGUGCGGGGACACCUACCUGCCACCUUUGCCCUGCUCCUCAGCUCCAUGUUAGAGAUAGGGUGACUGUGGAGCCCAUCUGUGUGAUACAGACAAGGAUGGAGAGAAGCGUCCUGAAUCCCACCUGCCUUCGAUCCUAUCUGACGCGUACCUGUCAUAUCUGAGCUGCAGUCUUUGGGAAGGAUAGCAGUAGUCACUUACUAGUGGCAGCUGUGUGGAGAAGGAGGGCCCAUCUUCUAGUGGGGGAGAGGGUGGUGAUUUGGAGUUUGCAAGCUGUAAAUACACAUGUUGACUCCUUACAAUUUUGGGAGGCCUGUGUCUGCUUCACCCGUUGAUUAAACAUAGGGCUUCAUGGGGGAUGGAAAUGAGGCAGGGGAUAUUGUCCCAGCCACUGAGUUAUGAAGGUCUUGUGAAGGCUGAUGGUCCUUCUCCCAGCUCCCUGCUGUACUCUGGAGCAGAGCCAGGGGUGCAGGCAUGUGGAGACCCAGCAAUUUACUGCCAUCUGCUGAAACUUGCUUUUUCUUUUUUCAUAUUUGUUAUAUCUACAUUCUUAUAUUUUAUAAAUUUAUUUCUAUUAAAAUGAUUUUAUGUAUUAUU